rnacentral:tRNA from 2 species
GGCUUUGUAGUUUAAAGGAGAACGAUGGUUUUGUAAUCCGUUAGUACCUGAGUAGGUCGUGGCCA